rnacentral:rRNA from 1 species
ACCAGACUCCUACGGGAGGCAGCAGUGGGGAAUAUUGCACAAUGGGCGAAAGCCUGAUGCAGCAACGCCGCGUGAAGGAAGACGGUUUUCGGAUUGUAAACUUCUGUUCUUAGUGAAGAAUAAUGACGGUAACUAAGGAGCAAGCCACGGCUAACUACGUGCCAGCAGCCGCGGUAAUACGUAGGUGGCAAGCGUUGUCCGGAAUUACUGGGUGUAAAGGGAGCGUAGGCGGGAAGCCAAGUCAGCUGUGAAAACUGCGGGCUUAACCUGUAGACUGCAGUUGAAACUGGCUUUCUUGAGUGAAGUAGAGGUUGGCGGAAUUCCGAGUGUAGCGGUGAAAUGCGUAGAUAUUAGGAGGAACACCAGUGGCGAAGGCGGCCUGCUGGGCUUUUACUGACGCUGAGGCUCGAAAGUGUGGGGAGCAAACAGGAUUAGAUACCCUUGUAGG